CCAGUGUGCAGAGCACAGCGAUGAAGACGGAGUGGAGCGAGUUUCAAGGAAGAAGAAAUAGCUUCUGACCCUCCAGGUAACUGCACACAGAUAAACUGAGACGUGUGAAGCAUACAGUGGGUCUGUGUGAUGUUUAUUGGGUAGAAACAGCCUCUAAACCACGGCUGUUUUAUAUAAUUAUAUUUGGCCCCCGAGAUAAUUUCUCAUGUCAAUUAUUAAUGUGGUAUGUGGGAGCCGAAUCCUCAGUCCUGCUUAGAAUCUAUGCAGUGUUGGAGUUUAUUUUGAUGGGCACACCAUGCAGCCAAUCACAUGCAAAGACAGACAGGGAUCAUAUCAUGCAGGCAGGCACGCAGAGAGACGGGGGAGCUGGAUUUAAAAGCUAGUGUGUUGGGCAAAAGUGACAAAGCAAGUGAAAACGUAAAGUGAGCAGUGUCUGACUGCACUUAAAUGGUAGACUUCAAAGCUGAGUGCAGACUUGAUCAAAGCAGCUGGAUAAACUGCUCCCUGUUUUUAUUUUCUGCCAUUUUCCAUUGUUUCAAACUUGUCCAGGCCUUAGACCUCAUGUGUGUUCUCCCAAGUAUUUAAUGCAUAAAAAUACUGUUUUCAUGAAAACACUGAAUAAAGUGUUGCUUUGCUGAAAAAGAAAAUGUACAUUUAAAAAAUAACAUAAAAUAAAGUUAUACAAAGUGUCUUUGAAUGGCAGAGAUGUGUGCACAUACCACAGAGCCAUGGCUCAAUGUCUGAGUGUCUAAAUGAGUCUCACAGGCCUGAACGCUCGCUUACAGUCAUUAAUAAUUCUUAACUUGUUGGAUCUGCUGCUCACCACAAACUAGCACAAGCAUGAAAUUUGGACUUUUAACUGUGUUUUUAUAAGUUUUACAGCUUUUCCUAUUGAUAAAAAUCCUUUAUUGCCAUUCAUGCUACACAAAGUCAUCAAGCAAAUAACAAUUAAAUGACAGAAAAGUUUGUUUUUCACUUUUUACUACAGAAAUCUCUGUUUUUUACGACUACAGUUUAAAAAACAAAAGGAAAAACUGUGCAGUUUGGGCAAUGAGCUGUCUGGGCUUUUUUUCUGUAAUCUUACACAUUUAUUUCUUAUGAUUUAAGUACAAAGAGUCGUGCCAACAGAUUUCUUUGUCACAGCAGCUUUUUCUUUAUCAUGUAGAAAAACAGUUAAAUAUGUCACUUCUUUACACUGACAGAAAGGGGAGUUUCACUGGUUCGGCAUACAGUGAGCCACAGCCCCCCCAUUUUGAAACAAAUAUCUGUACUUUGGACUUCUUACAUUUUCUUGUUACUUUUGGUUUAACAAAUUUGCAGGGACUUAUUGUUUUUGUCACUCUGAGCCUUCAGUCCUCUUUGAAAUAAUCACUAGGGGACGUCACAUACAGAGAGAUGACGUGUGCCAUAGUAAAGGGUCCAAGUGGGCCGCUGUGUGGUUUUGGUUUUUUGGCACAGCUCUGGAACGACUGCAGGUGCCCAUAAGUUGUGGUUUUUGUACUUCAGCAUCUAACGAGCCCUACAGAAGACGAUCAAGCAUAAAGGGAGUAACAUGUUGUGGCAGGGACAGAAAAGAGUUGGAGAUAACUUCACUCAGAGAUGGACAAAGAAUACAGGUCAGGAAGAGGGGAGCUUAUAUUUAAAGUUUCCGUCCUUCCAUGUGUUGUCCCUUAAUCUGAACUGGGACCAAAUGAAGCAGAGUGUAAUCACCUCCUACGAGCCAUCCUGUCACAGGAAUCCUCCUGCAAAGCCACAAGUCAGCGUCACCUCUGUUUCCUGCUUGUCCAAGGGGAGCCUGGAGUGACUGGAGCCCUACUGGAUCACCACCAGUAGGAAGAAAAUAAAAACAACCACGUGGAACAUUUUUGUAGAAUCGUUGCAAAUUUUCCAGCACACACUGGAUGUGAUCUGAGAAUGUAGUUUCUUGCAACGUGUACUCAGAUAUUUAAGCAAUACUUAUGCAAGAAUGCUGUUUGUUGACUUCAGAUCAGCAUUUACUACAGUCACCCCCUCCAAUGCUGAUUACCAAACUUGUAGAUUUUGCAACUCAGUCUGUACCUGGAUCAUGGACUUUCUGACUAACAGACCCCAGCAUGUUAGGCCAGGCCAUAACUGCUCUACCACCAUCACACUCAACACUGGCACUUCACAGGGCUGUGUGCUGAGCCCGUUCCUCUAUGACUGCAGACCUAGGGUACGGAUCCAACUCCAUCAUCAAGUCUGCAGAUGACACCACAGUGACUGUCUCAUCAGUGACAAUGAUGAGUCUGCUACAGGGAAGACGUAAAGCACCUAGCUGUGUGGUGCUGACAAUAACUUGCUCCUGAAUACCAGCAAAACCAAAGACCUCAUUGUGGACUUCGGGGGGGAGAGGAGAUACCCAUGUCCCCAUCUACAUAAAUGGCACAGCUGUUGAACGGGUCUCCAGCUUCAAGGUCUUGGGGACCCACAUCUCUGAGAAUCUGACCUGGUAAACUGAGACCUCCAGCCUGGUCAAGAAGGCCCAUCAGCUCCUCUUUUUCUUGAGGACACUGAAGAAAAACCACCUGUCUGUUGACAUACUGGUUAACUUCCACCUCAGUGUGAUGGAGAGUAGGGCUGGGCGAUAUGACCCAAAAUUCAUAUCUCGAUAUUUUUUAGCUGGAUGGCGAUAUACGAUAUAUAUCUCGAUAUUUUUUUUUUUAAGCCAUAAGGUAAGAACAAAAAGAGUUCUUAGCCAAAGCUGUGUAGCCACAUUAAUACAGAUGUACAUGAAGAAAAUACUCAAAAAAUUUAUGAGCAUUUAUUAAAAUAAUAAUGCUCCAUAAAUAAAAGAAAACAAUGUUGUUUUUGUGCAUAACAAAGAGCUCACAAUUGUGCAGUCAAAAUGUAAACUAACAGACACUGAGCAUAAAACAAAGACAGACAGAUUUCGCAGCUGCUCUGUUCCCAAGUUCUACUGCGUGACUGACAGCCUUGAGUUUGAAAUCCUCUUUGUAACUGUGUCUCUUACAGGUGCCAUCUGUGGUCCUUAUACGCACACAAUACGGUAAUAUUACGUUGAAGCACAGUACGUAUUACUCCGCGAGGCUCCUCGGUAGCCGUAAUGCUCCGACAAUCCAUCAAGCGGUGCAGCUCCGUAGCUUACCAAAGUCGAACUAAUACAUUUAUUGACAGAUUGCUGAGUGCUGUAUACCACAUAAAAUAGGUUCGCGGUCAGUAGGCACAACCAGAAUUCAUACAUAAGGCGCACUGUCAACUUUUGAGAAAAUGAAAGGAUUUUA